UACGUAGGGGCCUAGCGUUGUCCGGAUUUAUUGGGGCGGUAAAGAGCUCGUAUGGCGGUUUCGGCAAGUCGGAUGAUGAAACUCUCCACGCUCAACGUGGAGGGGCCAUUGAAACUGCCGGUGACUCGAAGUUCCGGGUGAGGGGAGGUGGACGGAAUUUCCCGGGUGUAGCGGUGAAAAUGCGCAGAUAUCGGGAGGAACACCGGUGGCGAAGGCGGGUCACUGG
rnacentral:rRNA from 1 species